CAGAAAGCAAAAAACGCCCAGUGGUCAGGUCUUGGCACCGACUCCAUGAUCGCACCUGGGCUUGCAGAUGGUCGAUAGGACCUCAGGGACCGCACACCUUGCCAGGAGGGCUGUCCUUCAUCAUGCCCUGCGUCAGCAGGAAGGUGUGAGGGGCGCAGAGAGGACCAGCGUGGGCUUGGAAAGGACCCGGGUGUUUUUCUACAACCUUCAUUAAAGUUCUAAAGUCAUGGAAACUUCACGCAGGCACACAGCCAGGUCUUUGCAGCGUAAAUCUUUCCGCAGGGAGGAGCCGGGGCGGGGAGGGUGUGGGAAGCGCCUGCCUGUGCUGUCGAGGCGGGAGGACUCCACCAAGCCCCACGAGCGACGGCCACCGGUGUCUCCAAGAUCCUGAAGGCGGUGUGAGUGUGUGGCCUGCUGCCAGUGCUGUGGUCACCCCCCUGGGAGCAACACCAGGACGGCCUCGAGCACGGGAACCUCCCCGGCUGGGCCCGCCCAUCGCCGGCACCGGGCUCCUGACGUCUUUCAGCACUUACUAAUAAUGCUGCGCUCUGCUAUUGUGCAACCGUUUGCUUCUUCACCUGGGACUUGACUUUCCUCUCCAGGAGCCAGGUGGCCUUCGACAGAGGCUGGGCGGUGACUUAGGUCAAGGCAUGAACAUCACCAACCUCUGCGCAGCACAGUGACCUGCUGUGCACAGCUGGUAUGCGGAGGGGCAGGAAGUCACCUGAGCAGGGCAGAGGAGCCUCUCAUAUGUGCGUGUGACUGGAGGCUCGGAGACCAGGCUUUGCCCAGCGUGCUGGGUACCAGGAGAACCCCAGGAUGAGAGGGACGCUUCUCAGGUGUCAGAGUGCCCUGGUGCUGCAGGAGGGCAGGCUGGGGAGAGGUCUCCCUUGGAGUCUGCGAUCCCACAGGGUGGACCCCACUGACCUCCAGCUGUCUGAACAGGUCCUGGGUCUCAUGGAAAGGUCCUAAUGAUGCUGAGGAGAUUUUCUCUACUGACUCUUUUCCACUGAGGGGACAGUCCAGAGACUGAGCUGACACUGAGGACUUCCAGAACCAUCGAUGUGCCCCAGGACCUUGAACCAUCCCUAAUCUCCUGCUGCAGAAGAGAGGGCCUGGCACUCACUGAACUUGGGGAUUCUUCCAAGGGGGUCAUCCUGCUCAGGGGUCUACUGAGUAGGAGGGGGCGAGUCCACCCACAGGCCAGGCACCUGGACACAUGGGUGUCUGUCGGAAGGGGAGGCAGAAGCAGCGCGUCCGCCCUGCUGGUGCCACGUGGCUGCAGGACCCCAGGGUCAGUCCACUGCUGACGCAGGUGGCACCGUGCUCAGCAAAGGCAGAACGCUUCAAAGCCCACGAGAGGACUGACGUGCCGUCUGAAAAGUCGGACUCUUGAGGUCUGACCACCUCACCUCCAGUUCCACCAUCCACACGGCCCAGCAACCCCAAAUCUACUGCAUGUCUACACUGCCUGUCGGGACAUCUCAUGGGAACAGGAUCGUACAGUGAGGUCUUUAGGUGCCGGCCGAGUCAGGAGACGAGGCGCCCAAGCUCCCUGCUGCGUUCUGGUCCUCCUGCUGGCUUUCGUCUUGCCCUGACGUUGGCUCCUUCUGCUCCCGCCUGCGGCACUUUGUCACCCUGGGGAUGAACACAGCCUGUUGAAGAAACCCCACGGGCACCAGCUGCUCUUCUGAACGUGUGAAGAACCUGACGAAGACAAGAAGCCCAAGUAAUUCUAUCAAAAAUGGGCAAGUGAUCAGAGAGGACGCUCCUCAGAAGGACGAACGGCCCACAGACAGGCGAAAGCUGUCAAUAGCGUUCACGGUCACAGAAAUCAAGUCACGACCACCCUGAGACACCGGCUCACCCGCUCGAGUGGCUGUGGUCAAGAGAAACAGAAGCGAGUGCUGGCAGGGAGCCCGGGCCAUGGGCGGGGCGUGGAUCAGUCCUCCGCUGCGCAGGCCCGGCCAAUCAGUCCUCAGAACCUGGGACUAGUCGCCACCCGAUCCAGCUGUCCCACUUGAGGAUUUUGUCCUCAAAAAUGUUUCUCGUCACCCAAGAGACACCUGCACGCCAUGCUUAUUGUAGCAGGGCUCCUGGCAGCCGGGCUAGGCUAUGGAAGCAGCCAUCUGGAUGCAGGGGUGAGGAAGCGUGGUGUGUGGCCAGCCCUGAGUCCCUCACCAGGAAGAGACCUAAUCCUGCCAAUCAUGGGAACUGGAGGAUGUAUGUCGAGUGAAGUAGAGAGUCAGGCAGCCACACGCUCUCCUGUGUGGGGCUGCAGGUGGAUCUGCAUGUGGACCUGUGCUGAGCAGAGACUGGGAAGGAAGCCGGAUUCCAUGAGGGCUGGCUGUGGGCAUGCAUCUAAGUUUCAUGCUGAAUCAUUUAAAAAAAAAAAAAAAAACAUUUUGCAAAGAACUGUGAAUCAAUAAAACUUUUGUUUCAA